rfam:Ricinus communis ctg_1100012352713, whole genome shotgun sequence.
GAGAUAUGAUGAGUGAAAUUAAUUGGUCCGUGUUUCUGAUUUCACCAUGACUGAUUACCUAAUUUUAGCACACUCUGAUCUC